rnacentral:rRNA from 1 species
AGCAGCCGCGGUAAUUCCAGCUCCAAUAGCGUAUAUUAAAGUUGUUGCAGUUAAAAAGCUCGUAGUUGAAUUUCGGGAUCAAUUUGCUGGUCGUGCCUUUGGUACGCACUGGUAUUAUUGGUUUCUCCUUUCUGAUGAAUCGCGAUGUCAUUAACUUGGUGUCGUGGGGAAUCAGGACCGUUACUUUGAAAAAAUUAGAGUGUUUAAAGCAGGCUCACGCUUGAAUACAUUAGCAUGGAAUAAUGAAAUAGGACGUUUGAUUCUAUUUUGUUGGUUUCUAGGAUCGACGUAAUGAUUAAUAGGGAUAGUUGGGGGCAUUAGUAUUCAAUUGUCAGAGGUGAAAUUCUUGGAUCUAUUGAAGACUAACUACUGCGAAAGCAUUUGCCAAGGAUGUUUUCAUUAAUCAAGAACGAAAGUUAGGGGAUCGAAGACGAUCAGAUACCGUCGUAGUCUUAACCAUAAACUAUGCCGACUAGGGAUCGGAUGAUGUUAAUUUUUAAUGA